rfam:Ictidomys tridecemlineatus contig048707, whole genome shotgun sequence.
AUCCUUUUCUGCUCAAAAGCAUGAUAAUUGGGUGUUCACACUGUUGUGUGAGAUGUGCCUUUCUUUAACUUUGUAACAAAGUCAGCACAUUACCUGUCUAUGUGAAA